rnacentral:rRNA from 1 species
GUGGGGAAUAUUGGACAAUGGGCGAAAGCCUGAUCCAGCCAUGCCGCGUGUGUGAAGAAGGUCUUCGGAUUGUAAAGCACUUUAAGUUGGGAGGAAGGGCAGUAAGUUAAUACCUUGCUGUUUUGACGUUACCGACAGAAUAAGCACCGGCUAACUUCGUGCCAGCAGCCGCGGUAAUACGAAGGGUGCAAGCGUUAAUCGGAAUUACUGGGCGUAAAGCGCGCAUAGGUGGUUCAGCAAGUUGGAGGUGAAAUCCCCGGGCUCAACCUGGGAACUGCCUCCAAAACUACUGAGCUAGAGUACGGUAGAGGGUAGUGGAAUUUCCUGUGUAGCGGUGAAAUGCGUAGAUAUAGGAAGGAACACCAGUGGCGAAGGCGACUACCUGGACUGAUACUGACACUGAGGUGCGAAAGCGUGGGGAGCAAACAGGAUUAGAAACCCUAGUAGUCC